UGUUCUGUGGCUUAGUUGGUUAAAGCGCCGGUCUAGCGAAUACAGAGUCGUGAGCUCAAAUCUCACCAGAGCAC
rfam:Aedes albopictus isolate Foshan contig13476, whole genome shotgun sequence.